GUGUCAGCAGCCGCGGUAAUACGGAGGAGGCAAGCGUUAUCCGGAAUUAUUGGGCGUAAAGCGUCCGCAGGUGGCUCGCUCAAGUCUGCUGUCAAAGACCGGGGCUUAACUCCGGAAAGGCAGUGGAAACUGACAAGCUAGAGGGCUCUAGGGGUAGAGGGAAUUCCCGGUGUAGCGGUGAAAUGCGUAGAGAUCGGGAAGAACAUCGGUGGCGAAAGCGCUCUACUGGAGAGCAACGGACACUCAGGGACGAAAGCAAGGGGAGCGAAUGGGAUUAGAUACCCCAGUAGUCCUAGCUGUAAACGAUGGAUACUAGGCGUUGCUUGUAUCGACCCAAGCAGUGCCGUAGCUAACGCGUUAAGUAUCCCGCCUGGGGAGUACGCACGCAAGUGUGAAACUCAAAUGAAUUGACGGGG
rnacentral:rRNA from 1 species